AUUUUCUCACUGACUUUUAUAUUCUAUUUUACAUCUCCUUUGUCGGUGAGAUACAUAGAAGAGGACUAAGAGAGAGAGUCUGAGUGGUUCUCGAUUUUUCCUUCUUUUCCCUUCACUGUUGGUUCGUUCUCUUCCUCAUCACCGACUAUCCUUCCACCGUCAUCAGUCACCGGCCAUCCUUCCCUCUGUCAGCGCCGAUCAUCUUCUGUGGUAUGGAAGUCAUCGGAUCUUCACCUUGGUCUGCUUCCUUGUUUCCUUUCUGCUCAUCUCUUCUACUUCACCCUCGAUCCAGCCACCCCUGUCCUUUGCUCUUCAACACGCUGCUGAUGAGAACAGGAGCUCCACUUGCCACCGCUGUGAUGGCCGCCUAAAACCACUGCAUUGUGGUGAAAAUCGAAUGUUAGUACAAAGCAUUGACCCUUGAGGACUAGUUUGGGAGUGAGUUAUGCACUUGAAAACUUUACAGAUGGAAAGGCUCAACUUGUAUUUCAACAUGUUCAUUGUGACGUUUUAUCAUUCAAUGGAGUGAAAGAAUUACUUUGGCAAGACCCAUUUGAUGUAAUUUGGGCCUUAUAUUAAAUCAAUGGUCUGGCCCUUGAUGCUCCACGUUGAUUAUAGGCAAGAUCUUCGCUUUUAUUAUAAGAUUGAAUAAUUGUGGGUAAGGAGUGCAAUUUCUUUGUUUGUAUUAUUGUUGUUCUUUGUUAGUGACCAAUUUUGGGUAGUCUCAAUUUUAGGAUACAUUCUCCUAAAUUUUUUUUUUACA